GAUGAACGCUGGCGGCGUGCCUAAUACAUGCAAGUCGAGCGAACAGACGAGGAGCUUGCUCCUCUGACGUUAGCGGCGGACGGGUGAGUAACACGUGGAUAACCUACCUAUAAGACUGGGAUAACUUCGGGAAACCGGAGCUAAUACCGGAUAAUAUAUUGAACCGCAUGGUUCAAUAGUGAAAGACGGUUUUGCUGUCACUUAUAGAUGGAUCCGCGCCGCAUUAGCUAGUUGGUAAGGUAACGGCUUACCAAGGCAACGAUGCGUAGCCGACCUGAGAGGGGGAUCGGCCACACUGGAACUGAGACACGGUUCAGACUCCUACGGGAGGCAGCAGUAGGGAAUCUUCCGCAAUGGGCGAAAGCCUGACGGAGCAACGCCGCGUGAGUGAUGAAGGUCUUCGGAUCGUAAAACUCUGUUAUUAGGGAAGAACAAAUGUGUAAGUAACUAUGCACGUCUUGACGGUACCUAAUCAGAAAGCCACGGCUAACUACGUG
rnacentral:rRNA from 1 species